AUCAGGUAGACAGCAAGAGAGGCGACAACAACAUGGGCCAACAGAAUUAGAGGACUUCCAGCGACCACACUCGCAUCGACAACCUACUCCAUAAAGCUAGCCUUGUGCAGCCAGCCGAAGCCUUUGGAGGAGGAGACGUGGCUGAAUUCAUCAAACGAACUGCAGCUCUCCUGCCCAUUGGAGCCUCGCACGUUAUCUCCGAAACGGCUCUUAGUGGCCGGCGACACCGAACGCAGCCAUCUGAUACAGAUGACAACAACACACUGCCUCCUCUUAACGAGACUUCUGGAGAAGCAUCAGCAGUCAUACGACCUAACUCCACACAGCAGCAACACAAAAGUGUCCCACUUCAUUUGGAGAAGAAUGAUACUUCACCUGUCCACCAGCAGCACCUGGAGAAGGGUGAUGACUUACCUGUUCUCCAGCAGCACCUGGAGAAGAAUGAAACCACACCUGUUCACCAGCAGCACCUGGAGAAGGGUGAUGACUUACCUGUUCUCCAGCAGCACCUGGAGAAGAAUGAAACCACACCUGUUCACCAGCAGCACCUGGAGAAGGGUGAUGACUUACCUGUUCUCCAGCAGCACCUGGAGAAGAAUGAAACUACACCUGUUCACCAGCAGCACCUGGAGAAGGAUGGGAUGUCCGAUUCUUUUCAUCAGCAGCAACAGAAG